rnacentral:rRNA from 1 species
UGGGGAAUAUUGCACAAUGGGGGAAACCCUGAUGCAGCGACGCCGCGUGAGCGAAGAAGGUUUUCGAAUCGUAAAGCUCUGUCCUAUGGGAAGAUAAUGACGGUACCAUAGGAGGAAGCCCCGGCUAACUACGUGCCAGCAGCCGCGGUAAUACGUAGGGGGCAAGCGUUGUCCGGAAUCACUGGGCGUAAAGGGUUCGCAGGCGGAAAUGCAAGUCAGUUGUGAAAGGCAGAGGCCCAACCUCUGUAAGCAAUUGAAACUGUAUUUCUUGAGAUGUGGAGAGGCAAGUGGAAUUCCUAGUGUAGCGGUGAAAUGCGUAGAUAUUAGGAAGAAUACCGGUGGCGAAGGCGACUUGCUGGACACAAACUGACGCUGAGGAACGAAAGCGUGGGUAGCAAACAGG